GCAGGAUCAAGUUGUCGUAGGAUUCCCCAGUGUAUCAAGUCUGCUCUACUGGGGAAGCAGAAGUCGGACCUUUGAGUGUGGGAAGCUUUGCAAGUAUCCAGACAAAACAGACACGGAACAUGGAGAUACAAGCAAAUGAAAAAAAAAAUCAGGUAAUAAAGACUAUAGAGAGAUCUAUGAUCUACAAUGAGGCCAAAAGCUUUGGUUUUAGAG
rnacentral:lncRNA from 1 species